GUUCUUACACAAGUCUCCGGCUUCUUCUUCAUUUGCCAGGAGAGUCGUCGGCCCGCUGCCACAUGCGAGGUGUUUUAGAUAACCUCGUUGUUUUCCUUUCAUUGACAGUCGGACGCGGUGCUCCCACCCGAACUGUGCUUGAUCAUAGCUCUGCCAGUCGACGUGAAUGUCCGUCGUCUGCCGAAGAAGUUCACGAUUUGUCUGAACACUCGCCUGCGAGGGAGGCGGGAGCGGGCAGCCGGAGAACAAGAAGCCGAGGAUCAAGCACCGUUUGGUAAAGCCACGCUUUCUCUAAUUUCUUGUGUUUCCUUUGGGUUUCCUCCAAUAGCUCACACGCAUUCACAAGAAAGGUUAAUACAUUGACGAGACGAGAGAGGUUAAUUUGGAGUACUGGAACUUUCAUGGAUGGAUGUUAGGUAGAGCUAACACAAAUUGAUCCUCUCCGAUGUGUUAGACAAAUCGAUCGAUCGAACAAUAAGUUUAUAUAUAUACAUGUUCAGAGGAAAGGUAGUUUUGAUGUUAAAAAUAGAGAUGUUAGCUACUACUACAUGCAACUGCUAUGAAUAUGAUGGCAGCUUUGCAUGAUCACACUGGCCUAAGGUGACGGUAUGUGUUAUAUACCAUCCAAUUAGUGUGAAUAGGGUACACACUGAACGCCAUUUAAUUUGUAUGAACACAGAAGCACAUUAGCUAUCAGAGGUUGUAUGCAGUGCAUAUUCAGGUCAUUCAUGGAGUACUAACGAAAACAAUUUUUUUCUCAAAUUUCAUUAAGAAGAAGGCGCAAGAAACACAAAUACACAACAAAGGAUCCCCAAUGGGACUCGAAAAAAGAAAGAAAAAAGAAAAGAACAAGGAAAAAAACUCAUCCACUCUGUUGUGCAGUGCAUUCAGGUGCUCUGUUCGACCCUAUCCACUCUGCAUUUGGCAGUAGUAGUAGCCGAUCGAAAUCGACCUUAAUUGGUUAUCUCAUCUGAGAUCGAUCUGUCUGAAUCCCUCUCCGACCCAAAACCACUAUUGUUUUCUGGCGUUGCUUGCCGAUAUAUGAGCAUUUCAGUUCAGAAGAGGACUUUCUUUUUUCCUUUGGCAAGAACGAGGACAUCCUCGUUACAAAAUUCUGACAUUACAGAUAAGCCA
rnacentral:lncRNA from 1 species